UUGGAGGGCAAGUCUGGUGCCAGCAGCCGCGGUAAUUCCAGCUCCAAUAGCGUAUAUUAAAGUUGUUGCAGUUAAAAAGCUCGUAGUUGAACUUCGGGGUUUACCCAUUGGUCAGGCUUAAUUGUCUGUACUGGUGAGAUGAAUCUCUACCUUCUGAGGAACUUUCAUGCCAUUUAUUUGGUGUGAUGGGAAAUCAGGACUGUUACUUUGAAAAAAUUAGAGUGUUUAAAGCAGGCUAACGUCUGAAUACAUUAGCAUGGAAUAAUAAAAUAGGACGGUGGUCCUGUUUUGUUGGUUUCUGAAUCACCGUAAUGAUUAAUAGGGAUAGUUGGGGGCAUUAGUAUUCAAUUGUCAGAGGUGAAAUUCUUGGAUUUAUUGAAGACUAACUACUGCGAAAGCAUUUGCCAAGGAUGUUUUCAUUAAUCAAGAACGAAAGUUAGGGGAUCGAAGACGAUCAGAUACCGUCGUAGUCUUAACCAUAAACUAUGCCGACUAGGGAUCGGACGAAGUUAAUUUUAUAAUGACGCGUUCGGCGCCUUACGGGAAAC
rnacentral:rRNA from 1 species